AACGAACUCUGGUAUUGAUUGGUGCUUGCAUCAUGAUUUACAUUUGAGUGAGUGGCGAACUGGUGAGUAACACGUGGGAAACCUGCCCAGAAGCGGGGGAUAACACCUGGAAACAGAUGCUAAUACCGCAUAACAACUUGGACCGCAUGGUCCGAGUUUGAAAGAUGGCUUCGGCUAUCACUUUUGGAUGGUCCCGCGGCGUAUUAGCUAGAUGGUGGGGUAAUGGCUCACCAUGGCAAUGAUACGUAGCCGACCUGAGAGGGUAAUCGGCCACAUUGGGACUGAGACACGGCCCAAACUCCUACGGGAGGCAGCAGUAGGGAAUCUUCCACAAUGGACGAAAGUCUGAUGGAGCAACGCCGCGUGAGUGAAGAAGGGUUUCGGCUCGUAAAACUCUGUUGUUAAAGAAGAACAUAUCUGAGAGUAACUGUUCAGGUAUUGACGGUAUUUAACCAGAAAGCCACGGCUAACUACGUGCCAGCAGCCGCGGUAAUACGUAGGUGGCAAGCGUUGUCCGGAUUUAUUGGGCGUAAAGCGAGCGCAGGCGGUUUUUUAAGUCUGAUGUGAAAGCCUUCGGCUCAACCGAAGAAGUGCAUCGGAAACUGGGAAACUUGAGUGCAGAAGAGGACAGUGGAACUCCAUGUGUAGCGGUGAAAUGCGUAGAUAUAUGGAAGAACACCAGUGGCGAAGGCGGCUGUCUGGUCUGUAACUGACGCUGAGGCUCGAAAGUAUGGGUAGCAAACAGGAUUAGAUACCCUGGUAGUCCAUACCGUAAACGAUGAAUGCUAAGUGUUGGAGGGUUUCCGCCCUUCAGUGCUGCAGCUAACGCAUUAAGCAUUCCGCCUGGGGAGUACGGCCGCAAGGCUGAAACUCAAAGGAAUUGACGGGGGCCCGCACAAGCGGUGGAGCAUGUGGUUUAAUUCGAAGCUACGCGAAGAACCUUACCAGGUCUUGACAUACUAUGCAAAUCUAAGAGAUUAGACGUUCCCUUCGGGGACAUGGAUACAGGUGGUGCAUGGUUGUCGUCAGCUCGUGUCGUGAGAUGUUGGGUUAAGUCCCGCAACGAGCGCAACCCUUAUUAUCAGUUGCCAGCAUUAAGUUGGGCACUCUGGUGAGACUGCCGGUGACAAACCGGAGGAAGGUGGGGAUGACGUCAAAUCAUCAUGCCCCUUAUGACCUGGGCUACACACGUGCUACAAUGGAUGGUACAACGAGUUGCGAACUCGCGAGAGUAAGCUAAUCUCUUAAAGCCAUUCUCAGUUCGGAUUGUAGGCUGCAACUCGCCUACAUGAAGUCGGAAUCGCUAGUAAUCGCGGAUCAGCAUGCCGCGGUGAAUACGUUCCCGGGCCUUGUACACACCGCCCGUCACACCAUGAGAGUUUGUAACACCCAAAGUGCGGUGGGGUACACCU
rnacentral:rRNA from 1 species